CCUGGACACUAGUUUUCAGGGAGGAAGGAAGAAACAAGAAUGAGAAGACUAUUUCUGCAGAACAUCGAGAUAUUUCAUGAAUCACAUGCUCUUACUGAGGAAGAAGAGACAGCGAAAAGGAAGCAAUGAUGAAGAACUCAAGCAUGUGUUCCUUCAGACAUCUUUACAACUAAACAUCACUUAUUUAUCACUUCAUAAGCUCAAAUUGAGGGUACCUACUUUGCCACAGAAGCGGCCCUGGCAAGGAGUUUCAACUGACAGAACUCAGCUAGCAAAAGAAGAUAAACAGAGAAGUAAGACUGCCUGUUGCUGGUGUCAUUGGCAAACCAAGAUCUUGCUGCUCAACUGUUACGUGCUCAACAGAUGGGUAUUUGCUAUAUGGAAGUGGAGAACACAUGCAUUUACCUGGCUACUCAGCCUGUACAGAAAGAGAUUACAGUGACUAAGAGCAGCAGGGCCUAAGGAACUGCUGAGGCAGUUAAUCAACAUGACUGCACUUUCCCAGAACACGGAGAAAACAUCCAAGUUUUGCUACAAUGGACUUUAAGAUCUUACAUACACCUCGGAGUCUGGAGCUAUGGCAUUCCUCCAAAAUAGUUCACAGUUUUUGCAGUUGAAACGUUACUGCAAAAUGGCACUAAAGUGCAUAAGUACAUUGAAAAUUAGGACUUAAACCUGGUUAUUUCAAACUAUCAUUUUUAACAAUCUUGCACAGGCCCGACCAUCAAAAACUUGAAGCUUUGAUUCAGAUAGCUUGGCAGGUUUCACAUAUUUGACAGAUGUGCAGUACUUUAAAACCAACCACUGACUGAUCACCUUAGAAAUCUACAGCCUUUCCUUUCUGCAUUCAUUUAUAAAUCAAGUGAAUAGCAAAACAGCUCUUCCUCAAAGUCAGCCAAGAGAUCUACUCAGAGUCACAGCUCAAUUCCCACUUGAUGCUCUGAAG
rnacentral:lncRNA from 1 species